AUUGAACGCUGGCGGCAGGCCUAACACAUGCAAGUCGAGCGGAGCGGCGGACGGGUGAGUAAUGCCUAGGAAUCUGCCUGGUAGUGGGGGAUAACGUCCGGAAACGGGCGCUAAUACCGCAUACUAUCAGAUGAGCCUAGGUCGGAUUAGCUAGUUGGUGGGGGAAAGGCCUACCAUGGCGACGAUCCGUAACUGGUCUGAGAGGAUGAUCAGUCACGCGGGAACUGAGACACGGUCCAGACUCCUACGAUAGGCAGCAGUGGUGAAUAUUGGACAAUGGGCGAAAGCCUGAUCCAACCAUACCGCGUGUGUUAAGAAGGUCUUCAGAUUGUAAAGAACUUUAAGUUGGGAGGCGUGACCAACAGAAUAAGCGCCGGCUAACUUCGUGCCAGCCGCCGCGGUAAUUC
rnacentral:rRNA from 1 species